GCAUUAACGGGGUGGUGGUAACCUGGGUCGUUGCUAUGGAGGCCAGUAAACACUCACAUGCGGUAUCGACCCGCCGGGGGUUCGAUUCCCUCUUAAUGCA
rnacentral:tRNA from 1 species